AGAAGGUACCUGCUUCCCCUUUGUCUUCCACCAGGAUUGUAAAUUACCUGAGGCCUCCCCAGCCAUGCGGAACUCCUCUAUGUUGAGUACUGAGAUCCAGCAUAAAACAGGAGACUUGUUUCCUGCAUGAAACCUGCAGUAUUCUGAGGAUUAAAGAUAUUAGAUCAACAACCAGAGAAAAGAAUUAUUUAAGUGUUUAUGCAAAAAACUGUAGAGAGUCCUAUGGAAAUACACCAGUGAAAUAGAAUAUGCACAGAAUGUGAUACACUGUACAAGAUAAGUGCACCAAAACCAUAUAUUUGAACUGUGUGACUAGUAUAUGACAAAGCUAGAGAGAUUUGAAUUGUGCUUCUAAAAUAAAAUAAUUACUUUGCAACUUGCGAUAAAAAAAUCCAUCAAUGGAUCAAUCAAAACGGCAGUGCUGUCAAAUUGUGUAAUAUAGCUAUACUAAAAUGUAUAUAUUUUUAUACAUAAUCACAGGAAACACAACUCAUAGUCAAUUAUGUUAUCAUAUUUUCCCAUUCAAAAAUGUGGUAUGAAAGUAUUUUGCAAAUUCAGUAUCAAGUAGAUAGUUUGUCAGGUGUUUUUACACCACACAGAAUAAAUCUUAUCUUUGCUAGACAAGAAUAAGUGUGCUAGUUCUUUUGUAUUUUGACUUUUAAGUUUGAGGCAGAAGUGCCACGGAAAUCAACUUCUGACUAGGGGAGAUAAAAUAAACUCUCCAAAGAGCUGAGCCUGUCAAAGUAGAUGAAAAAAACAUCUCUCUCGAAUGCUCAAAUAAUAAAUGCUG
ensembl:lncRNA novel transcript